UUCCUGGAGGUCUAGUGGUUAGGCCCCUGUGCUCUCACUGCCAUGGCCCGGGUUUUAUUCCCGGCCAGGGAA